ACUUUUAAAGGAAAAUAGCCAUCCGAUGGUUUUAGGAGCCAGAUCUCUUGGUGCAAAUCCAAGUGAAAGUAA
rnacentral:tRNA from 1 species